CCCAGUCAGAAAUGAAUGCAGGGAGUCAGGAGCUGCUUAUCCUGAGGUCAAGACGAGGUUCAGAAACCAACUGUCAGAGUUCACCAUCGCGGCCAACAACAUCUGUAAUCUCUAAAAUCUUUAGAGAGAGACAAGUUGGCAUAGGGAGGGGGUGUUUGCAACCGCAGUGGGUCAAAGCAAGGUCAGACCAACCUGCAGGUACCCACCACGUGCAUCCACGUUGGGAAGUCCUCCCUUCUGCAGCCCUUGAGACUGAGCAGCAAUUCCCUGAGAUCUUGACAUUUGGGUGCAAUGAACUAUUUGCAGCUGGACUGAAAACGCCUGGGGAGACUGGUGUGGGGAGGGGUGGAAGGAAGCAGGAGGAAGGAGGGAGAGUGGCUCAUCCCUGGGGCAGGGCAAAGGGGCUGCCACGUUUGGGGAAAGCUGUCGGGCUGCUUUUUUAUUCACAAACUUUUGCUUUGGGACAACAAGUGACGAACCAGCAGGAAAGUUUCCCACUUCCUUUUUUUUAGCCAGGCUCUGCACUUUGCCAGCUGCUCCCCUCCUGCCCUGCUCAGCUUUCCUAACGAAUUCCGAUUGAUUUUGCAAACAGCCCGGGCUCCGUGUUCCGGCCAAAGCCACCCCCUCCAGGCAGGGACAGCUCAUGCAACACUCCCUGUGGGUUGCAUCCCCUGCAAAUGUCCCGCUGGCAUUUUUUUUUCCUCUCUCUGUUGGGCAGCGCGUGGAUCAGCCACCAGGGACUACGGGAUGUACAAAGAAAUGUUGUGUUCUGGCAUUGCCUCCAGAGCAACCCGAAAAGGCUCCACAUAAAAGCACAGCACCAAGCACAGCCACCCAGGGGCUCUACACAAUGUUCUCAAGCUAUUUCUGAAGAGCUGUUUUGCUCUUUUUUACCUUAAUUUCUGCCAGGCUGUUCUGAGGGCGGGGAGCACUGGGAGUGCAAACUGGUGUGUCACACAGGGCGGUGGUUCAGCCACCAGAGACACCAACGGCUCCACUCGGUGCAAGACACAGCGUGGGGCUGUUGAACCCCGUUUUCCCUUCACUGGGUCUCCUUGACAACAAAUUCCAGUGGCCCGUUUUCACCCACGACUGACAGACCAGUCCCCAGCAUGGCCUGGACAACAGGACAGGCCCGAGCUCUCCAGUCCUGCUCUGCAAAGUGCUCUGCUGCAGAGUCUUCACCUCACAAGCGUCCCCAUUGCUUCGUGCCAGUGAUGACAACCCUGCUCAAGAAAAAUUCCAAGGAACAGACCAUCUAGUAGCAACCUGGCACCUCUAGCUUAACCCAAAACAUCAACCUAAUUUCUCCCCAGGCAUUACAGUGCUCCACCUCCUUGUCUGCAGCUUGGAUGCUGCCAACCUCCCUUCCCAAUGCUCUCUGCCCCUCUCCUUGGGUUCACCUUCCGAAAGCCAAAGCUGGUUUGAUGUUCCCUUAGGACUUCCUGCACACCUUACGUGUCCCCUCAUUCAGUAACGGCCAAGUGAACUCCCAUGGGCUGGGACAGUGGUGCCCAGCUCGGGCUAUGGUUCAGGGAGGCACCAUGCAGGUAUCAAGCAGGGCUCUACAACUAAAUCAUCUCUUGACUGCUGAUCUGAGGAAACCUCACACCCCCUUCUGAGGGCCACUCAGCAUGAACACAGCCAGUGGCCUGCAUCGCACUGCGAUGCGACAAGAAGUCAGGAGCUGGGCUCCAGCUCCACACCAUUUCACAGGAAAGAGAAUAACCAGCUUGUUUGCUCCUCUUCCCCACGUCCCUGACUUACCUGUCUGAGAAACCACGAUCUGGCUGCAGUCCUUGCUCCUUAUCCCACGUCGGGAGCACGUACCGCGUGGCUGUACGCAGAAAGGUGCAGGCAGGCAGGUUCUGCAGGGCUCUGGCCCUCCAAAAGUAACAAUGCAGUCACACUGGAUCUCCUGCAAAACAAUAAAAUGCCAGAAUUUGCUCUUGUUUGCCA
rnacentral:lncRNA from 1 species